rnacentral:rRNA from 1 species
GGGGGGGGGGGGGGGGGGGGGGGGGGGGGGGGAGGCGGGGGGGGGGGCGGGGGGGGUGCGGGGCGGACGGCAGCGGCGGACGGGGGAGGAACGCGUGGAGAACCUACCUAUAAGACGGGGAUAACUGCGGGAAACCGGAGCUAAUACCGGAUAAUAUAUUGAACCGCAUGGUGCAAUAGUGAAAGACGGUUUUGCUGUCACUUAUAGAUGGAUCCGCGCCGCAUUAGCUAGUUGGUAAGGUAACGGCUUACCAAGGCGACGAUGCGUAGCCGACCUGAGAGGGUGAUCGGCCACACUGGAACUGAGACACGGUCCAGACUCCUACGGGAGGCAGCAGUAGGGAAUCUUCCGCAAUGGGCGAAAGCCUGACGGAGCAACGCCGCGUGAGUGAUGAAGGUCUUCGGAUCGUAAAACUCUGUUAUUAGGGAAGAACAAAUGUGUAAGUAACUAUGCACGUCUUGACGGUACCUAAUCAGAAAGCCACGGCUAACUACGUG